GACCUUUUGAGCCUUGACCCUCGGAUCAGGUAGGGAUACCCGCUGAACUUAAGCG
rnacentral:rRNA from 1 species